rnacentral:lncRNA from 1 species
CACAGCGGCCUUGGGUUUGGGCUCCAGCCCCAGCCGGGCCCCCUCGCGCCGCUGCGGCUGCUGCGCGGUGAGGUCGUGACAAGUCACAGCUAACUUGCCCUCCGCGCCAUUCCACGCCACCAGGAAGCGCAGCCGGUGCCUCUCGGCAUCGGCGAAGAGGCCUUGCCGGACCGGCGCCCAGCCCUCCAGGCUGUCGAGCUGCUCGUCCUCCAUGGCCGUCGGCGGCAGCGGCCCUAGGACUCGGCGGGCGCGGGCCUGACCUCGUCGCACUGCCUGUCAGGGGACAGUCCCAGGCUGGAGUGCAAUGGCAUGAUCUCGGCUCACUGCGACCUCUGCCUCUUGGGUUCAAGCGAUUUUCUUGCCUCAGCCUUCGCAGUAGCUGGGAUUACAGGCAUAACUGAAGGUGAAAGGACAGAAUCACCGUGUGUUACUGGCACAGAUGCAUCGGCUAGUGAAGAAAGAAGACAUUCAAACUGUAAGUUGCAUUCACGUGGGAAGCACAAAGAAUUAAAUUCAAAACAAUGAAACAUUAGAGAAAAGCAUGGAGUUAAAACACAACAGAAUCAGAUGUUUACUAUUUCUCAUUUUAACACUAGUGCUUUGCGGGCUUCUAAUAAAGUUGUACUCCAGGAGGCUAAGACUGAAAAGUGACACUAGUGAAAAGUAGCAUUGAAAUAGUUCCUAGAAAAGUUGGGUGAAUGUGGGGCAAAGAUGCUACUAAACUUUAAUUUUCCAUCGACACACAAAUUCAAAGUUUUCCAGAACUGGCAAGUAAAAUGGAAGAUCCACUCACAGGACACAUGCAGUGUGUGAGGGGAAUGCUUUUCAGCACUUCUUGAUGGAUGCACAAAUAAUGCCAACGUGGUAAAUGUCUUUGGUAAAUGUGCAAUGGAAUGUAGUGGUUGUGUGAAGGAAGAAUUUUGUUUUCUGCUUCAUUUUUGAUAAACACAAGCAGCUCUGGACUGUGUGAAACCAUGGAGCACUGCACAGUUAACAGAGGUGGUUUGGAGUUUUUUAGCUUUGCAUAAGAGGAUGUUCUGAUGCAGAAUCUACAGUGACAGGAAACCAUUCUGGACAAGUUACAGAAUUAAGGGGCUUGUGCCGGGAUGGAAAUAAAUCAAUGACUUCUGUCUUUGAGAAGGUUUUUCUCUGCUCCUCUGUGAUGGUU